AGCGAACGCUGGCGGCAGGCUUAACACAUGCAAGUCGAGCGGGCACUUUCGGGUGUCAGCGGCGGACGGGUGAGUAACGCGUGGGAACGUGCCCUCUGGUUCGGAAUAACUCAGGGAAACUUGAGCUAAUACCGGAUACGCCCUUUUGGGGAAAGGCUUGCUGCCGGAGGAUCGGCCCGCGUCUGAUUAGCUAGUUGGUGAGGUAACGGCUCACCAGGGCGACGAUCAGUAGCUGGUCUGAGAGGAUGAUCAGCCACACUGGGACUGAGACGCGGCCCAGACUCCUACGGGAGGCAGCAGUGGGGAAUAUUGGACAAUGGGCGCAAGCCUGAUCCAGCCAUGCCGCGUGAGUGAUGAAGGCCUUAGGGUUGUAAAGCUCUUUUAUCCGGGACGAUAAUGACGGUACCGGAGGAAUAAGCCCCGGCUAACUUCGUG
rnacentral:rRNA from 1 species